CGGCCGCCCGCGGGCUUGCGGCUUUGUUCGGCGGAGAAAAUCAGCUUUAUUUGAAGCGUCCAGAGGCUCAGGCCUUGCUUCGUUCGUGCAGGAAUAAAAUUAUCCAGGAUGCCCCUCAAGCCAUCGAACACGGGCUCACCCUCAACGAUUGCAAUAUAUCCCAAAAACUGUAUUAUCAUUAGCGUGGUAUUGAAAGUUCCAGUUACGGGCGAAAAAGAUAAAAGCAUCCUUUAUAUCGCCUAAUGGAAGCGGCCAGUAUAUCGGUUCCACACGACAAUGGUCCCAUAAUGAAUAACACUGAGCGCUUUAAUCUCCUCGGGACGGAUGCACACCGGGAAGGAACCAUACACACUAUCCAUCCGUUAUCCUUUGUACCCAUCCCGGGGCUGGAGUCGACUCCGAGUAACAUCCCCAUCCGGCACGUGGGACCGAGAGUGAGGGAAAAUCUCAUCAUUUAGUCGGAAUAAAAGCGUCAAUUAGAGGGAUGAAUAGAGUGCGUCUUGUAUACGUACUGCGCGGGAAGACAGGGAUCGAACGCAUGGGAUUUAAUCGAAGAGUGGGCCCGAAAAAACCACAUAAUCAUCCGAACCCAAGUAAGUAGCAGAGAGCGGAAGGACCCAUGCUCUUAUUGCGACCGAUGCAUUGUGGGAGGGAAAUUGUAUCCGUAGUCAAGACGCCGCAUAUGGGAUGGUAGGAUGAAUGUACGUAAAGAAUUGCAUACUCAUUUUCAGCCGCACGAGAACUUGGCGGAAACCACAGGGCUCGAAAAAGAUGCUUUCAUGUCAGAGUACAGCCACUCGUAAAGGCCACUAAUGAGGAUUAUGGGAUCAUUCAAAUAUUCAAAUAAUACGUAACGCAAAUCAAAAAGGGAGGAGAGGAUGGCUUGUGGAAACUUGUUCAGAUAUAAUACCAAUUAAAUCUAAACAUUUCUUAUGCAAAUGACCAUUUGUUACAUGUUAUUUAGAGAAAAGGGUGUCUUAAAAAGUAAAAAAAUAGCGUUACGUAAAAUUUG